CUUUUUGAAGUCUUCGGAUGGAAAGAAGAACCCCUGAUGCCGUCGAGCCAAGAAAAGUUUCUAAGUUUAGCUAAUGUUGCCCGUACCGUAAACCGACACAGGUGGGUGGGAUGAGUAUUCUAAGGCGCGUGGAAGAACUCUCUUUAAGGAACUCUGCAAAAUAGCACCGUAUCUUCGGUAUAAGGUGUGCCUCCCUUUGUAUUAGGAUUUACUCCGAAAGCAAAGAAGGUUACAACAAAGAGUCCCUCCCGACUGUUUACCAAAAACACAGCACUCUGCUAACUCGUAAGAGGAUGUAUAGGGUGUGACGCCUGCCCGGUGCUCGAAGGUUAAUUGAUGGGGUUAGCAUUAGCGAAGCUCUUGAUCGAAGCCCGAGUAAACGGCGGCCGUAACUAUAACGGUCCUAAGGUAGCGAAAUUCCUUGUCGGUUAAAUACCGACCUGCAUGAAUGGCGUAACGAGAUGGGAGCUGUCUCAAAGAGGGAUCCAGUGAAAUUGUAGUGGAGGUGAAAAUUCCUCCUACCCGCGGCAAGACGGAGAGACCCCGUGGACCUUUACUACAGCUUGACACUGCUAUUUGGAUAAGAAUGUGCAGGAUAGGUGGGAGGCUUUGAGUAUAUGACGCCAGUUGUAUAUGAGCCAUUGUUGAGAUACCACUCUUUCUUAUUUGGGUAGCUAACCAGCUUGAGUUAUCCUCAAGUGGGACAAUGUCUGGUGGGUAGUUUGACUGGGGCGGUCGCCUCCCAAAUAAUAACGGAGGCUUACAAAGGUUGGCUCAUAGCGGUUGGAAAUCGCUAGUAGAGUAUAAAGGUAUAAGCCAGCUUAACUGCAAGACAUACAAGUCAAGCAGAGACGAAAGUCGGUCUUAGUGAUCCGGUGGUUCUGUGUGGAAGGGCCAUCGCUCAAAGGAUAAAAGGUACCCCGGGGAUAACAGGCUGAUCUCCCCCAAGAGCUCACAUCGACGGGGAGGUUUGGCACCUCGAUGUCGGCUCAUCGCAUCCUGGGGCUGGAGCAGGUCCCAAGGGUAUGGCUGUUCGCCAUUUAAAGCGGUACGCGAGCUGGGUUCAGAACGUCGUGAGACAGUUCGGUCCCUAUCUGCCGUGGGCGUAAGAAGAUUGAAGAGAUUUGACCCUAGUACGAGAGGACCGGGUUGAACAAACCACUGGUGUAGCUGUUGUUCUGCCAAGAGCAUCGCAGCGUAGCUAAGUUUGGAAAGGAUAAACGCUGAAAGCAUCUAAGCGUGAAGCCAACUCUAAGAUGAAUCUUCUCUAAGCUCUCUAGAAGACUACUAGUUUGAUAGGCUGGGUGUGUAAUGGAUGAAAGUCCUUUAGCUGACCAGUACUA
rnacentral:rRNA from 1 species